GGGCGGGGAGUCUUGCGUGUGCUCCACCAGUGAGCUGAUUUUCUCUGCCUUCUGGGUGAGGUUUUGUUUGUUUGUUUGUUUGUUUUUACAGGAAGUGAAGGCUUCGGUGUGGCUCAGUGGUGGAACCCAGAGCCCUGGGUCCGUCCCCAGAAUCACAAACAAGUACAAAGUAAAGAGUCCCUGAAAAGCAGCUCCUUCGGACAUAAUAUUAAGAUGUUUCAAGUGUCAAGUGCCGCUGACCUGGCAACACAGGGUAAUAGUUGCUUCUUGGCUCAGAAAGCAUCCGUCCUGGACUGGAACAGAUCCCGUGGAUUAAGGCCAGGUUCUCAGGACUAAGGAUGUAGUUUGGUGGAUUGUUUGCCUAGAGUGAAGAAGGACCCGGGUUCAACUCCAGGUGUGAUGGUAGAUGCCUAUAAUCCCAGCACUGAAGAGAUGAAGACAGAAAGAUCAGAAGUUCACAGUUAUCCUGUAUCGCACAGUGAAUCUGAGGGCAGCCCGGGCGAACACAGGGUCUUAUGUGCUGGUGCACUUAAGCCCAGCACUCUGGAGGCAGAGGCAGACGGAUCUCUGUUUAUGAGACAAGGUUUUACUAUAUAGUCUUGGCUGGUCUGGAACUCACAAUAAGGCCCCAAAUAAAACAACAAUAAAAACAAAAACAACCACAAACAAGCCAAUGGCAAUUCUAAGUUCUCAAAACUGAAAAGAAAAUUGAUGGCCUGGGUGUUCCCCAGAACUCCACCAAUAGAGGAUGUAUCAUUGCCACUCAGAUCCACUGUUGACCUCAGGGUCAAGUGCCAUUAUAUGUUCUACCCCCUCGGGCAAGUGUGCGCUCCAUGUCUAUUAUGUAGUAUCAUAUCUGUGAUGUUACAUCAUACAGAAUGUCACUGUCCUGGUUCUGCCGUCCUUCCUCCCAUGGCAACCACCAUGUCUUCACGGCUUUGCCUAUUCUGGCAAAAUAAGGACGGAGCCACAGGGCAGGGGCACAGCAUUUUCAGGGCAGCUCUUGAA